CAGAAAGGGAACAUGGGCAGGGACAAAUAAGGGAAUAAAAGCUGGCCACCCCAGCCAGCAGUGGUAACCGGUUUGGGUCCUUUUUCGCAAUGUGGAGUCUUCGUCCUUUUGCUCUUCCCAAAAAACCUUGCUGCCUCUUACUUUUUGGGUCUGUGCCAUCUUUAAGAGCUGUAACACUCACCGUGAAGGUCCGUGGCUUCAUUGAUGAAGUCAGUGAGAAUCAUGAAGUCAGCCAGAGUACUGGUAGGAACCAACCCCAGACACACCAGCACUUUGGUAGGCUGAGGCAGUUGGAUCACCUGAGGUCAGGAGUUUGAGACUGGCCUGACUAAGAUAGUGAAACCCCGUCUCCACUAAAAAUGUAAAAGUUAGCCAGGCAUAGGGACGGGGACCUGUAAUCUCAACUACAGGGGAGGCUGAGGCAGGAGAAUCACUUGAACCUGAGCGCCAGAGGUUGCAGUGAGCUGAGGUCGCAUCAUUGCACUCCAGCCUGGGCGACAGAGUGAGACUCCGUCUUUGAAUAAAUAAAUAAAGUGGACUGGAGCGCUGUGCUUUGCUGCUGUCCAUGAUCUCAAUGGCUACUUUCUAGGAAGGUUACUACACAUUUUUCAUUGAAUUAUUAUACCACUAUUUCAAAAAAAGACAUGCAGAGGGGAAAUAUUUCUAUUUCUGGCCCAUUUUUCUCUAUCCCCAGAGUCCGGAGCUGGCUCUCCUUUACCAGAGUCAGAUCAUGGUCAUCAGACACGUCCCAUUCUCACUCAACCCAGGGGCAACAGAGUGCUGACCACAAAGCACGUGCUUAAUGAGUGAUGAGUGACCCAAAAAACAAAUCAGAAGAUGGGCAAAAAUUCAUCAUCUAAGGGACUAGAAGAAAUGGGAUAUCCUGUGAGGUUCAGAAAAGCCCAGCAAGGGUCAGGGGACACCACUGCAGAAGAAUCAUUGUCAAAUCAUCGCAUAGGAAAACCCAGCGCCCUGGAGGGAAUCGACUGCCAGUUUAAGGAGUCAUUGUCCAGUUCAGACUCCAGAAUACGAAACGUAGAAACUGACAGGAAAUGACCAAGUAUAAAUUGCAACUUGUAAAGAAUCAUCUUAAAUCCUGGCACUGCGUUCAAGGGGGAGUUUGAGCAAGGAAUGUUGCUAAAACGGCUAAAACCAGGAACUCAGAAUAUCGUUCUACAAUAGAACCUAAAAACUGUUUCCAACCCAUCACGACAUCACCCUGAAAAAUGAGUGAGCAGUCACUGAGGCUUCCCAAGUUUGAAAAUUCCACAAGACUGAGAGCAAAUGUUUUGUUGAAACUGAAGUCAAGAUGAAGUCAGCUGACUCUCAAACCUCAGGUGAAGUGACUCAGGGCCCACACCCCGGUUCUGAGGCAGGGACACAUUUUACUUGCAGCACCCUGCAGCUUUGGAUGAGGCUGCAACCCGGGUGAAUCCUGGCCCUGCUAUCACGUGGGCAGCCACUGCAUCCUCCGGAGGCUGUGGAUGGGAGUCACCAUGCUGGGAGGUCUGGAGUAAGAUCUGUGCCAUCUGCCUUGCCCAAUCCUGUACCAGUGCCUGUGUUUCAAAAUCUCAAAAUAAAAGUGAUUAUUCUUGCAACACAUCUAGGUGUACUAAACGAAUA
rnacentral:lncRNA from 1 species